AAUUCAAUAGAAUAAGAUCUGUUAUGAUAUAUGCUAGUAAUUCAUAAUUAAAUACUAAGCCCAUGUAAUACUGAGACCAUAGAAUCCUAAGCUCAUCAUGAUGAGAUCAUAAUUAUUAGAAUCAAUAACGCUCUACGAUCGAACCCAAUUUACAGAGCAGGUACCAAGGUACUGUCGCUCUUCCACUGUUCGAUCCGGCUUUCACUGGUAUCACUUCGACGAGAUUCUGUAUAGAUGUUAGUUCAACUGUGUUUGUUAUAAUAAACUCUACAUCCUCGGUGAUAGUAUCAUUUCUUACAUUAGAAGCUUUAGAUAAUUAGAUGAACUUAUGUUAAUUGCGAAAGAUACUUCCAAGGCAAGACGUAUGUUGGAAUCAGCGGAAAUGAGAAUUCUUGCCGGGAAAACUUUGUACGAAGAGAAAGCAGGGACCACAUAAAAAGAAUGUGUGAGGUCCAAAACAACCAGGAGUGAAUAACCAACAGAAAGAGAGAAUGGAACGUGCACAUAGAGAGAAAGGUACAGGAUAGAAUCUUGACAGCGACCAGGCAUAGAUAACCUCUAGGAAAGAGGAUUAUCGGCCGUCCAAGGAAGGAUAUGGAAUCUAUGCCCCGAAUAGGGACAUAAGCGUUUACGUGCUUAAACCCAUUUACAACUUUCCAUGUAAUUUCAUAGAUUUGGUUUGUUUGAUGAAUCAUGGAAUCUCUAACUAUUAAUUUUCAGGAUGUGCUGAUUAUCAGUUCAAGUAUCUACAGUCAACAUCUCCUUGUUGAUAAAAAAAAAACUUACGGUUUUGUAUUCCUCUAUCAGUUUAACUUUAUCUGUUAUUAUAGUAGGAUAUCCUAUACGUUCAUUCAUAGCAUUUGCUUUUUCUUUAGCAACAGCUCUUGUUUCAUCGUCCAUCCAGUCAUUAUCAGACAAUAGCUCAUUAAAGGCCUCUCUUAUAGUGUGAAUCAUCA